rnacentral:rRNA from 1 species
UACGUAGGGGGCCAGCGUUGUCCGGAUUUAUUGGGCGUAAAGAGCUCGUAGGCGGUCUGUCACGUCGGCUGUGAAAUCCCGAGGCUCAACCUCGGGUCUGCAGUCGAUACGGGCAAACUAGAGUAUUGCAGGGGAGACUGGAAUUCCUGGUGUAGCGGUGAAAUGCGCAGAUAUCAGGAGGAACACCGGUGGCGAAGGCGGGUCUCUGGGCAAUAACUGACGCUGAGGAGCGAAAGCGUGGGGAGCGAACAGG